CUGAAUUUUGUUUCCCACCUGAUUCUAACUAGGAACUUCUUUUUGCUAAAUUGUUAAACCUAGCAUUACCAAAGAUUCUCACGUUUUCUCUGCACUAACCUUGGCAGUUUCAAAACCUCCAAAUAACACUACUACCACUUAGUGAUGGAUUUUCGAGAGGAAGAGAGAGAUUUUGUCCAGUUCUGCUUUUCGACACUGUCGUGCUGCUCCUAUCCCGCAACGCUUCUCCGCUUCUUCCGCUUCUCGGCCUCUGCUGCCGUGCUAGUUUUCUGGUACUCUCGGUCAUUUUUUUAGUUUCCAUUCAUUAUUGUGUUCAUAAGAAUUGUAUGGGUAAUUUUUACUACUCAAUUGUUACUGAAAUCAAUUUUAAAUAGUGUAUACUAACGACAAAAUAAGUUCAUUCAUCUGUGUGGUAAGGCUAGAAAGGAAAAACAUGCGCUUAAGGGGAGUGUGAUGCGAUUUAAUUUAUUAACGUACAUUUUGCAGGUAUUGGAAAAUUUUAUUGAAAACAAUUCAUUAUUUUUGCAAUUUCCUUUAUAUUUUUUUAUUUUUCUACUGAAGAACCAACUUAAUUCCUUGCUAGACUAUUUGUAAUAAUUUUUGUGUUACUUUUUUCAAUUAGUAGAUUGUUCCUCAUAUAAUAGAUGCCAUUCAAGUUUGGAUAUAACGCGUUGCAAUGAUUCCAAUAGAUAGAUUAUCCGGCUUUGUUGAUGUUCGUGUCGUUGAAUUGGUUGCACUGUAUAAAGGUACACAUUUAAGAACAAUAUAUUCUUGAUGUUGAUAAUAUGAUAUCUUGUCUAAAUUUAUGUUUAAGUUAUAAGCAAACUAUUCUGCUUGCAGGGACAUUGAUUGCCUUUUAUCGAAGCUCGUAAAUAGUUACUGUAUCGUGUGGCUAAGAAAAUUAGCUAUAUAGCUCCAUAAAAUGUUAUUUAAGUGCUCUGAAUUCUAUAUUAUUUUUUGAUCACAUAUAUAUUAGAUAUGUUGAACUUCAAUAGCCUUCUUGAAACUUGAGGACAUUUUGUUGUGGCAAUAGAUUUCUUCCUUGAUCUACUUAUGCAUGCCGGUAAAAUGUUAAGUUCAAGGAAACGUCACGGUGUAUUUUCUCCUGAAAGGCAGGCCGGUAAAAUGUUAAGUUCAAGGAAACGUCACAGUGUAUUUUCUCCUGAAAGGCAGCUAGAUUUAGGCAAAACUCUAGGCAUGAUCCAAUGCAGGGAUAUAUUUACAUAUGACGAGAUUCGUGCAUCGAUUUUGGCUCCAUUGUUCAGUAUAUGUAAUAUUAAGGCAAAAACGUUAUUUUUAUGAUUUAGAUUCUCUUUAGUUCUUUAUUGUAAUUAUUCUAAAUUAUAUUUACAUGACUAUUUCGACUUGUUAAAUACUAGUAUGUAUUUGGAUUAUUGGAUCAAUUAGUAAAUGUAUUUUUUUA